GACGAACGCUGGCGGCGUGCUUAACACAUGCAAGUCGAACGGAAAGGCCCUGCUUUUGUGGGGUGCUCGAGUGGCGAACGGGUGAGUAACACGUGAGUAACCUGCCCUUGACUUUGGGAUAACUUCAGGAAACUGGGGCUAAUACCGGAUAGGAGCUCCUGCUGCAUGGUGGGGGUUGGAAAGUUUCGGCGGUUGGGGAUGGACGCGCGGCUUAUCAGCUUGUUGGUGGGGUAGUGGCCUACCCAGGCUUUGACGGGUAGCCGGCCUGAGAGGGUGACCGGCGACAUUGGGACUGAGAUACGGCCCAGACUCCUACGGGAGGCAGCAGUGGGGAAUAUUGCACAAUGGGCGGAAGCCUGAUGCAGCAACGCCGCGUGCGGGAUGACGGCCUUCGGGUUGUAAACCGCUUUCGCCUGUGACGAAGCGUGAGUGACGGUAAUGAGUAAAGAAGCACCGGCUAACUACGUG
rnacentral:rRNA from 1 species